CUUUUUUUUUGCCCUCAGAAGGAAAGUGCAUCAGAGUUUGCAUCAUGUUCUGGGCUCCCUUCCUUCUCUCGUUGUUCGUGCACUCCUCAGGAUCCUUUGCUCAGUAUGUCCUGACCCAGCCGUCAUCCGUGUCUGUCUCCCUGGGACAGAAUGAAAGGAUCACUUGUUCAGGAAGUGACAUUGGAGAAAAGAAUGUUCACUGGUACCAGCAGAAACCUGGGAAUCCUCCUGUUCUGAUUAUAUAUGCUGAUAGCAGCAGGCCUACGGGGAUCUCAGAUCGAUUCUCGGGCACCAACUCUGGCAACACGGCCACCCUAAGCAUCUCCAGGGCCCAGGCUCAGGACGAGGCCGACUAUUACUGCCAGGUGUGGGACAGUAGCCAGUGCACAGUGAUACAAAUUAAGGGGGAA